ensembl:lncRNA
UUAUUGCUAAUGCAAUCAUAUGGCACAUUGACUUCUGAGGAAAUUUUAGUCAGCACUCAUCAUCAGAAAGGUUGCCAAACCCUGUUCUAUGGUGACCCCUUGUGAAUAAGGAAGCAGCUGAAAGUGGUUGUAUCUGUAACUAUUUCAAACAGAAAUGCAGUCAAUUUGUUGCACAUACUGAAGCAUGCAAUUAACUGAACUGAUGGUUGUACGCUAAAAAAAUGAGAGGCCUGUUUGUUUCAAACUAUUACUAGUUACUAUGAAUUUGUUAUCGUAAACGGCAUCUGUGCCUGAAAGAUUUGUCAGUUGCAACAGAGACAAUGGGUGGCUUGUUUAGCAAAGGGUCAGGACUGUUCAGCAGCUGGGAUUAUUUAAAACAAUCUGUGGCCUACCAGCAGCUCUAACAAAUUUCAUUCAAAUAUGUUUUUUUGCCCUCUCUUAACAAAGAAUGUAGUGAAUUAAAAGUAAAACUUAAGAACUCCACUCUCCUGCUACACUCUGACUGACCUCCACCAUAGAAAAAGUUUCUUCACAGAGGUAAGUCUCUACCUGCUUUGUAGCUAAGACUUUAACCUUUUAGUCUCCCAUCUAUAAGGCACAUCUAUAAGCAACAUAUAUCACUUUCUCCAACUAGAGGGAAGCUUCAAGAAAAGUUAAGCCUAAAGAGCAACUUUCAGCUUGUGGAAAAAUGCUUAAAAACAUCCAAUUUUUGUGGGAUGCAGGAGUUGAAAUGAUUGACAAAACUGAAUAAAGAACAGGUGCAGAUCUGGACGUGUCAAACUGUGUGUCUGAGUAAUCAGGUAAUGUCGACUAAAAAAGUCGCGAGGUGACGCGAGAGGGACUGUCACCAAAUCUGGUCUCACACUGCUGUUUUAACAACCUGCACAGGUGGGGGGAAAAGAAAAUGUGUGUAUGGGGAGGUUAGUAGCGGUGGCUACAUGUAACAUUAUUGUUUCUGCGCCUAUCCCCCCCUCACACACACAUGCCCACACACACAACCAUGCAUACUGAACCUGACACGCCUACACUGUAACACUCCCUCUGGAAUCCAGCAAGUCAAACGCUCUUGUGUAUGUGCAGGUGAGUGUAUUUUCCAUCCAGCUGCCAGAGUACAUGUGUGUGUGUGUGUGUGUGUGUGUGGAUCAGAAAGAAGACUUGUACUGUUCGGCUUCUACAGGAUGACUCAGCAUCAUUCAGCCCCCACGGGAACACUGCCUGCCUGUUAGCGCUCAGCUAAUAAGACGCUUGCUUGAGCCGAUGCAUCACCAUCCCACCUGAGCACUGCAGAAGGAAGAGGGAGAGAGAAAAGAGCAGGGAGGAGGGAAAGGAAGAAAUGCAGAUGUAGAUAUUAGAAGGAGGGGGAAGUGUCUUGAAGAUGAGUGCACCUGUCUCCAAGCACAAGCUUCUGCUCACACUCACUGUCUUACUUCUGAGUGCGUAUGCGCCAAAAAAACUGAGAUAUUUUCACUGAGAAUUUUAUAUAAAUGCUGCUAUAUUAUGCUGUAAAUCAUAUCGUUUGAAAGAUUUUGCAUAAUUGAGAUCCAAGUAUGCAGACGUGCAUUACAGGCUUUGUUAAUCGGCAGGUGAGGUCCAGUAAUAUUUACACAUUGCAGAGAAAACAUGUCACUUAUUUGUUUGCAGAUGAAAAAAAGAAAAAGAAAAUUAAAUACAGAAACACAUUUUUAAAUGGUGGGGAAAUGCAUCUCCAUCAGAACCGCUGGCCAGGGUACGUGUGACAUCAGUCACUGAUUUGAAUUCAGUGAGUUCUAACAGAGUUCACGAUGUUACAGGCAGCAGCUUUCAUGUGUAAAUUAGCUCAGCCAGUCUCCACUUUAACAGGUUAGUUAGGCCAUCCUUUGAGUCUGUGUUGUGUAGACUUAGGAGAAGGAAACACGCACGGUGGCCGCUUCUAUUUCUGUGCUGCCAUUUACUAUCUGCAUAAGGAAAAGGACACGUAUACUGGUCGGUUAUGCAGUCGGCCUGACCACAUACCUAGCGUAACGCCUGCGCAAACUGGCAAAGCAUCACUGGCAGCAGUGUGAUUUACCCGCUGAGAGACAGCAGGUAAUGUUAAACUUCCUCAUAUAUAAAGAACCUUUAAAAAAACCUUACCAUGAUCUCCUCUCAGUUGUCUAGCAGUAAGCACUUUGCUAAACACAGACAUGCUCUCAGUCUCUCUGCCUCAUUCACUGCAGUGAUGUGGUAUCCCUAUAUAGUAACUCGAAUAAUAAAUGCUACCUGGCAUCAAUCUUCCCUACCAGUGGCUUCAUCUCAUCUCUUUCACCUUGUUUUCUACUUAAGUUCAUGGCUACUCCUGACUAAAACAUCUGUGCUGGUGUAGUAUAACAGCAGAUGGCAAGACACGUGUCAGUUUAAGCUAAUUUUACAGUUAUGGAUCAGAGAGUUACAAAUGGCAUUCUCAGGACCUGCAGGUCCUUACAACUGCAAGUGGAAUUACCGUAUUUUUUGGACCAUAAGGCGCAAUGUCGAUGAACGGGUCUGUUUUCAUACAUAAGGCGCACCAGAUUAUAAGGCGCAUUAAGCGAAACAAUACACUCAAAUAAUUCAAACUUUACUCAACUCAUUCUUCUUGCUUCCUCCAUUUUCAUACCAUUGAUUCAUUAAUGUUGAAUUCUCUCACAGCUGCUCUAUUCCCAUGUUGUUGCAGUAUAUUAAUGACUAACCUCGUAUUCUGGAUGGAUUAUCUCAGUUGUUCUCCUGACUGAAGUUUUGGUCCGUUUACUGCAUCCUGCCAUGAGAUUGCAUUUGUCCCUAACCUUCGGGAACCCCCGUUAACUUUUAUCGAGUGGAAAAAAGUUAGCGUUCAUCCUCCAGCUUCACUGUGUUUAUGUUAUGCUAACAUAGCUGUGUCGCUAGCAGUCAUGUAGCACAUCAUUAUAUACCAGCUAGCCCAACUUCAGAAACCCUACAAACAUCACUGCUGUUUAGUUUUCUUCUUCGUUUAUGUUGGAAGUGACAGCAGAGCUGUACAUUUAAAUUUUUCAGAAAUCUCUCAGUCAGAACAUGCUAUAUCAUGUUUAGGUGGAAACUAGCGAGCUAACUUCCUGCUAACUUCUAACUCCAUUAAAUGUAAUAAAUUCUGUUUUUUAUGGAUUCCUGGAUGUGAAACGUAAUUGUUACUCCUCAGCCAGUAAAACAGCAAAGCAGAUCAUUUUAUUAAAGAUGAAAGAAUUUAGACAGUUUUUAACUCUCAGUGAUGCCGCAGUGUUUGUUUGUCUCUCAGACCUGAAGGGGACGGAGUUUUGGACCCAGAUUACUCCGCAAGGCUCCCGACUACGGUAGCUGUAAUGCUCCGACAAUCCAUCAAGCGGUGCGGGUUCAUAGCUUACCAAAGUCUUACUAAAACAUUUUUUGACAGAUUUUUGAGCACCGUGUACCACAUGAAAUCGGUUCGAGGUCAGUAAGCACAACCAGAAUUCAUACAUAAGGCGCACCGUCGAUUUUUGUGAAAAUUAAAGGAUCGUAUCGUAAGUGCGCCUUAUAGAUUAUUUUCCUACAGUAAAUAGGAAAAUGAGGCUCAGGUUGAAUUAAAAAAAAAAAAAAAGAAAGACAAGUGAAUAUUCAAGUUAGUGGUUCCUACAACAAGCCCAUACAGAAUAGAUGCAUGGACGCACAUGCGCACACUCACACGCAUGCACACAGACACACUUUCCUAAGCCCACUGGCGAUGUCUGGCACAUCUGUGUCUGUAAGAACUGGACCGUGUUUUUUGAACAGUUCAACUUUGUGUGCAUGUGAGGGUGUGAGAACACGCCAUAAUGUGCCAGGUCAUUUCAGGUCAUAUUGGAAAAGGUUGUUCAUAGUCCAGAUGUUAUGCAGCCAUCCAAGUAUCUAGUCCAGCAAGGCACAGACCCAAAGAAUUCAGUCACAUUGGCCCCAUUCUCACUGCAAAAAGGGGGGAAAAUGCAACAGUGGAGCAAUAACACUUUAGUGCAUAUUAGAAUUUUGCAAAUUAAGAAAGAAGAGUUUUAAAACCCACAGAAGAAGAACAGAUUGGAUCUGUGUGAAUAUAAUCUGAACUUUCCUUUGACAGGUGUGUCACUGGGAGACGUGUUAAUAGGCUUGAGGAUGAAAGUGCAUUUUCCCUUCUCAAAGAUAAACGCCCUUAGAGGCCACUGCACACAAACACAUCCUUUGGAAACACAGACUUCUACUGUCUCCACUGCAGCAUUCCAGUGUGUUUAUGCAGACUCUGUAAAGGAAACACAAGCAACAGAGAAGGAGUGCACAGGAUGAAGCAAGCAGGCAUGCUCUGAGCUUGUAUUUAGGUGUCGCUUUUUUUCUUGUCACUGAUGAUGUGUUUGUCUUUCUAUAGCACGAAAACCUCAUACCACUGCAAGGGUUUUUACUUCUGACCCUUCAUAUAUACUGACUGAAUAUUUAUAUACCCUUUUAUUGGCACAAACCCAAUGUUCUCAUGGCCACAUUGAAAAGCAGCAACAUGGUGUUUAACUUUUCCUUCUAAGCAGAGUCACAAAUAGAUCAGGACUGCCACUAAGGUGGAAGAAAAAAAAAAAAAAAGAGUCUUGGUUGUUAUUUAAAGAUGCUGGUAAAGUGGGCCGCAGGGAUCCAGGACCAUUCAAACAAAGUCACCGUCCACCCUCAGCUGAUUUCUACUGAUACACUUCAGCUAUAAGUUACACUAAUUUAUACAAUUUGGUGAUGAAAAUCGUAAAACACUCAAAUCGCCAAUAAGUUACUGCAGUGAAACCUCAGUUUUAUUUACCUACUUCACGGUAGUUUAGUGCUCCUGCAGCAAUCGUGAUAACCAGCGUGACUGAGGAGGACACUGAGCAGACGGGCACGUGCAGGUCAGAGUUUUGGAAAACAUUCAUAAGCUUGUUCAGCUAGUUUUAGAGCGUGAUCCUACUUGAAAACUGCCAAACUAAUGGAAAUGUGUUGAAGAUGUGUUGAGGUCACGUUCACAGUACACUGUCCUAGUGUGCAGUCUCUCCUGUUUGUCUCCUGCUUUGCCUCUGCAAUUUAAGAUUAAAAUUUUUGGACUUUUAUAAUUGUGGCUACAUUUCUCUAUGAGUGUACAAUGCGUAUAUGACUGUAAAUAUGAUUGCUAUCCUAGAAAAAGAAAGCUACGUGAUUUGAACCACAAUUCCCCCCACCUCAGUCAAAGUUUGCCCGUCCCGUGUCUGCUGACGACCCUGUGCUGCUAACACAACAUAGCACUUUGCAAUCAUCUGCACAUACAGCAUGCUAACGCAAAGCUAGCAAAUAACCCAGAGGGAUGAUGAAGUCAAGUGAAUGCUUACCCCAGCCAAACAGCCAGAGCGUGAAGUAUAAGCAGCAUACUGCAUUACUGUUCAGAAAGGUAAUGUGUAAUGUGUAAUAUAUUUCUUUUUUGUAGCAUCAACCCCAACACUACUCCUAACAUAACUCCUCCUAGAAGAAUACAGAAAGAGGACCACGAUUUUCAGAUUUAAAGAGAUGAAGAACACAGAGUUGACCCUGGCUCUCUGCAGAUGCUUCACAGUAAAAAGCAUCCAGAUAUUUUUCUGAUUCAUGGCAACUGAAGUGCUUACUGUGAUGUACCAUGUUUGCAAGGGUCCAGGUUCAUGAUACCCGAGUCUAAGGGCUAUUCUAUUUUUACCCAUGGAAGUACUUGGUCAUAAACUAAAGCGCUUGACAAAGUAAACUUUUGAACUCAUGGCUAGAAAACGAAAGUUACCACGAGUCGAGCUAAGGUGAGCAUAAAUGUCCCAAUUUUUGUCGGCCCACUCAAUAAUUUUACUCUCACCCUAAUGAUGCUGUGAUAGUGUACACUCUGCAUUAUUUGUUGCGAUAUUUCAAACAAUGCGCUAACACACAAGUCAAAACAACUCUCUUUACACAAAGGUUUAGCAGAUAAAAGUACUGUUUGAAAAAUAGCACAAAGUCCAAAUGAUUCACAAUUAACCUGGUCAAAAAACUGCAACACCACAGAUACUGCUGGAGUCUGUCACAACACCAGCAAAGCACAUCCACUGAUUACACUGCUUGCCUGGCAAGGCAAAAUAAUCUGCAGCAGUAAAACAGGAAGGCUUUAAUUAGAUGUGACUCUACACUGCGUGGUGACAGCAGUAAAAUUCUCUCUGCUCACCGCUGUGUUGAUGAACACCAUAAGGCUAAAUAAGGUGUGUGUGUGGAGGAGCCUUGCAUCCACCUCAUGAAUUAUAAUGUAAGCUGUCAGACUGAGGGAUGGUAAGUGACCAGUUCAUGUCAGGACGGGACAGCUUGCUGCUUGAUUACAACCCUGCCUGUAUUGCAGACACACACACACACACACACACACACACACACACACACACACACACACACACACACACACACACACACACACAUUGUGACCACCUACUUCAAACCAGGGUGGGGCAGGUCCUGCUGUAACUCCAGGUCCUGUCUUGUUCAUUAGCAUCACAUCAAAGAGAAUUAAAAAAUAAAAAAAGAUAAUCACAGUAUUAGAAGAACUUUAAAACUCU